UACGUAGGGUGCGAGCGUUGUCCGAAAUUAUUGGGCGUAAAGGGCUCGUAGGCGGUCUGUCACGUCGGGAGUGAAAACACGGGGCUUAACCCCGUGCCUGCUUCCGAUACGGGCAGACUAGAGGUAUGCAGGGGAGAACGGAAUUCCUGGUGUAGCGGUGAAAUGCGCAGAUAUCGGGAGGAACACCGGUGGCGAAGGCGGUUCUCUGGGCCUUACCUGACGCUGAGGAGCGAAAGCGUGGGGAGCGAACAGG
rnacentral:rRNA from 1 species